AUUGAACGCUGGCGGCAGGCCUAACACAUGCAAGUCGAACGGUAGCACAGAGAGCUUGCUCUCGGGUGACGAGUGGCGGACGGGUGAGUAACGUCUGGGAAACUGCCCGAUGGAGGGGGAUAACUACUGGAAACGGUAGCUAAUACCGCAUAACGGCGCAAGACCAGAGUGGGGGACCUUCGGGCCUCACACCAUCGGAUGUGCCCAGAUGGGAUUAGCUAGUAGGUGGGGUAAUGGCUCACCUAGGCGACGAUCCCUAGCUGGUCUGAGAGGAUGACCAGCCACACUGGAACUGAGACACGGUCCAGACUCCUACGGGAGGCAGCAGUGGGGAAUAUUGCACAAUGGGCGCAAGCCUGAUGCAGCCAUGCCGCGUGUAUGAAGAAGGCCUUCGGGUUGUAAAGUACUUUCAGCGGGGAGGAAGGCGGUGAAGUUAAUAGCUUCACCGAUUGACGUUACCCGCAGAAGAAGCACCGGCUAACUCCGUGCCAGCAGCCGCAGUAA
rnacentral:rRNA from 1 species